rnacentral:lncRNA from 1 species
GAUAAUUAGGAUAAAGUCCUUAUACUUAUAAAUAAGUUUGGAAACAAUUGGAUUAAAGAAAAUUGCAUUUUUAAGGUUUCUAGGCUGCCAAAAUCGAUUCAUGAUUCGUAAGAUCGCUUCAUGAUUUUGACAGCAUCAGACUGAGUAGAAAAAUUUGAUGUUGCUGUCAAAAUCGCCUCAUGAUUUGCGAAAUCGCUUCAUGAUUCGACAGCAUCAGGCUAUGCAGAAAAUUU